rnacentral:rRNA from 1 species
GUGAAAUUCCGUCGGAAUCUGGGAGGACCAUCUCCUAAGGCUAAAUACUCUCUAGUGACCGAUAGUGAACCAGUACCGUGAGGGAAAGGUGAAAAGCACCCCGGAAGGGGAGUGAAAUAGAACCUGAAACCGUGUGCUUACAAGUAGUCAGAGCCCGUUAAUGGGUGAUGGCGUGCCUUUUGUAGAAUGAACCGGCGAGUUACGAUUUGAUGCAAGGUUAAGCAGUAAAUGUGGAGCCGUAGCGAAAGCGAGUCUGAAUAGGGCGUUUAGUAUUUGGUCGUAGACCCGAAACCAGGUGAUCUACCCUUGGUCAGGUUGAAGUUCAGGUAACACUGA